rnacentral:rRNA from 1 species
GUGGCGGACGGGUGAGGAAUACAUCGGAAUCUACUUUUUCGUGGGGGAUAACGUANGGAAACUUACGCUAAUACCGCAUACGACCUACGGGUGAAAGCAGGGGAUCUUCGGACCUUGCGCGAUUGAAUGAGCCGAUGUCGGAUUAGCUAGUUGGCGGGGUAAAGGCCCACCAAGGCGACGAUCCGUAGCUGGUCUGAGAGGAUGAUCAGCCACACUGGAACUGAGACACGGUCCGGACUCCUACGGGAGGCAGCAGUGGGGAAUAUUGGACAAUGGGCGCAAGCCUGAUCCAGCCAUACCGCGUGGGUGAAGAAGGCCUUCGGGUUGUAAAGCCCUUUUGUUGGGAAAGAAAUCCAGCUGGCUAAUACCCGGUUGGGAUGACGGUACCCAAAGAAUAAGCACCGGCUAACUUCGUGCCAGCAGCCGCGGUAAUACGAAGGGUGCAAGCGUUACUCGGAAUUACUGGGCGUAAAGCGUGCGUAGGUGGUCGUUUAAGUCCGUUGUGAAAGCCCUGGGCUCAACCUGGGAACUGCAGUGGAUACUGGACGACUAGAGUGUGGUAGAGGGUAGCGGAAUUCCUGGUGUAGCAGUGAAAUGCGUAGAGAUCAGGAGGAACAUCCAUGGCGAAGGCAGCUACCUGGACCAACACUGACACUGAGGCACGAAAGCGUGGGGAGCAAACAGGAUUAGAUANCCUGGUAGUCCACGCCCUAAACGAUGCGAACUGGAUGUUGGGUGCAAUUUG